AGACCACCGAAGAACGGGAAAGUAAUCCCGAAGAACAUCGUUAUUGCUGCAAUGAAAAUAUGUGAUGCAUGAACUUAUGUUCAAGUAGGUUGAAAGAAUCAAAGAGUUUUGGUUUUACUUACCAACAUAAGAAUUGUGAAUAAUGAAUCGGAGCAUUUGGGAAGGCUGAAAGUUUAGUUU